AAAACAAGUCAGAAAAGCUUUUCCAAAAUCAAAACACCUACACGCUCAUCACCUUUUUUCUUCCUACACUACACGCUCCUCACCUUUCUCUCUUCCCCCAAAGAACCAAAUCUCAAUGGUUACUCCCAUAUCUUAAAAAAAAAAAAGAAUAGACCCUUGCCUUCAUCUUCUUCUCCUUUUACUUCACAAAAAAUUUGCCUACCAUCGUCGCUAGAUUUUCUGCUCAAACAAUUUGUCAAAGACAAAGAAAAGUUUGAGUUCCGAAACUGAGUUUGAGUUUGGACCUUGAAGACAAAGCUCCUAGUUUGCUGCUCUACACAAGGUCAGGACUCAUCCUCGCCUUUCAUGAUUUAUUUAUUUCUCAGUUUCUAAGAAGUAAAAUAGUCGUUUAAUAGUCUCUAUUGGUUGUUCGAAUUCAGAAAAUUUGAAGUGUUGUUUGUUCUGUUUGUCACAGUCAGUACAUCUCACCCUUUUUUUUGUUCCCUCUUAACUUGUAGAGAAAAUGUAUUCACAUCAUAUGUUCUGAUCUCUAGUUUGAUUAGAAUGUUUAUCUAAAUCUGUUUGAUGCCUUAAUAAUCACUAAUCAGCUAGGAAAGAACUAGUUGUAUUUUAAAUACUAGCAUAGUUUUAUUGUUUUAAAUUUUGAUUAAAUAAGACGGUUUGUCUGUAUGUUUUCAAUUUUAUAGCAUACCUUAUUUCUUUAGUUUAAUAUUCUUUUACAGUAACUUAUUAAAAUUAUUUUUUUUUCGUGAAUCAGUAAUGCAGUUGUCCUAUUUAAGUAUUGGAGCGAUGUGAUUUUUUUUUAAUAACUUAGUAUCAAUCUUUCUUUAUUUUUAUUUUUUAGAUUUAUACCUACGCCUAAUUUCACCUUUGAAUCUGUCCAUUUUAGCAUUUCAUAUAUAUUUUUUUUGUUGUUUCAAGACGUAGAUAACUCACAGGGUUUUUAUCAAUAUCCUUGCUAUGUGAAUUUUUUUUAGUGGUUUGCUCUCAAUAAAAAGUGAACAUCAAUGUCCUUGCUUUUCCUCCCUCCCAUUAAUUAAUUUUCUCAUAAGCAAGUGCCUGCAAUUUUUAUUGAAUUAAUUGGAGUGUUGUUGUUCAAAUUUUGUUCCUGUGAGUUUACUACGGGAGAUGAGUAUUUGUUUUAGCAUAUUUAUAAUUGAUACCUAUUUAUUAGUUCAUAACGUAAUUUCAGUUAAUUCAUAAUUGUUCAUUGUUCCAUUUUUCAAGGAUGCUUUGUUUUAAUAGUGUUGAAUGGUUUAACUAAAUCUCACCUCCCUUAUUUUGUUUGAUUCAUAAAAUGAAUGUCUGAAUGUUCGUAACUCAUGUCUGAAUGUUUGCAGCUCCUCUAUAUUUCUAUUUUAUAUGUCUGUUUUGGAUGAUCAGCUCGGCUGAACUUACACCUUGCUCUUCUCAUUACCAUCUGUGUGAUUAUCAAAUUUAGUAUAUAGAAUAGUUGAUACGAACCAAAAUACAUAUGUAUGUCAGGCAUAUUUUUCUUUCUGUGUGUUUAAAUGACUAGCAUUUCUUGGGUAAUUAAGCUUUGUGAAUAGCUAGAUAUUAUGGCCUUCUUUCCAGUUCACUGCCCAUAUAUAUGAGGCACUGGAGUUUGUAAGUUUUUGUUGUUUGUUGAGGUCCGUUUUAUUAAGAAUAUCGACAUUCGUCGAAUAACUUCACUUGAUCUUUCUACUCCUAUAGUGACUAAUGUUCGUUGUUGCUUUCAAAUGAUUUGAUUUAAAUAUUCAAGUGCUCUGUUCACCAGUAAGAUGCCUCUAUUUUUGACUACUUGAAAUAUGAUUUUGGUUGAUUACAAACCCAUCACCUCUUAUAUUGAAUAUAUGUAAUUCUAGUUAACUGUUGAGCACAUGUCAAGCAUUAUUCAUUUGUUUUGCUUUCUCUUGUUGGAUUCAUAACACCACGUAGUGUCAUAGGUCUUAAAAUACCCUGUUUAAAUACAAUGGAAGCCUGUUGAAAUAAUUCUGCCUUAUCACGACUUGUAUUAUAUGUUUUCGUUGUUUAGUUUUGCUACUUAUUUUCCCACGUGACUCUAAUUCUUAUAUUUUUUCUCUUAUGUUUCAUGUACAAUCGGAGGGCUAGAGUUUCUACUUUUAAACUCAUUUUGGUCCAAGAUAUUGGGCCAACAGCUAUUAGGUUCGUCAGAGCUCGGAGUCUUGUAAAUUAGAAAUCAACACCCCUUAGCCUUUUUCGUUACUGCUUUGAUUAUAUAUCUCUCGAUACAUUAAUUUGUUUACAUAUUUACAUAUAUGUUAUAUUGAUACUAA